rnacentral:tRNA from 1 species
CCCUGUUUGAUGUAGUGGUCGCAUCCCGGUCUGAAAAGCCGGUCGUGUUUGUUCGAUUCAAACAGCAGGGACCA